rnacentral:rRNA from 1 species
UACGAAGGGGGCUAGCGUUGCUCGGAAUCACUGGGCGUAAAGCGCACGUAGGCGGAUUCCUAAGUCGGGGGUGAAAUCCUGGAGCUCAACUCCAGAACUGCCUUCGAUACUGGGAAUCUUGAGUCCGGAAGAGGUGAGUGGAACUGCGAGUGUAGAGGUGAAAUUCGUAGAUAUUCGCAAGAACACCAGUGGCGAAGGCGGCUCACUGGUCCGGUACUGACGCUGAGGUGCGAAAGCGUGGGGAGCAAACAGGG